GACGAACGCUGGCGGCGUGCCUAAUACAUGCAAGUUGAGCGCUGAAGGUUGGUACUUGUACCAACUGGAUGAGCAGCGAACGGGUGAGUAACGCGUGGGGAAUCUGCCUUUGAGCGGGGGACAACAUUUGGAAACGAAUGCUAAUACCGCAUAAAAACUUUAAACACAAGUUUUAAGUUUGAAAGAUGCAAUUGCAUCACUCAAAGAUGAUCCCGCGUUGUAUUAGCUAGUUGGUGAGGUAAAGGCUCACCAAGGUGAUGAUACAUAGCCGACCUGAGAGGGUGAUCGGCCACAUUGGGACUGAGACACGGCCCAAACUCCUACGGGAGGCAGCAGUAGGGAAUCUUCGGCAAUGGACGAAAGUCUGACCGAGCAACGCCGCGUGAGUGAAGAAGGUUUUCGGAUCGUAAAACUCUGUUGGUAGAGAAGAACGUUGGUGAGAGUGGAAAGCUCAUCAAGUGACGGUAACUACCCAGAAAGGGACGGCUAACUACGUG
rnacentral:rRNA from 1 species